UUCUUGAUCUUAAAAUAAGAAGUAAUUCCUGCCCAGUGACAUAGUUCAACGGCCGCGGUAUCCUAACCGUGCAAAGGUAGCAUAAUCACUUGCCCAUUAAUUGUGGGCUAGAAUGAAUGGACUAACGAAAUAAAGACUGUCUCUAUAAGUUGAAUAAAAAUUAAUCUCUAACUGAAGACUGUUAGAUAAUAUCGAAGGACAAGAAGACCCUAUAGAGCUUUAUUUAAACAAAAAAAAAUUAUAUUUUUGUAAAAUUCGGUUGGGGCGACCAGGGAAUUUACAUCAUCCCUUAUUAUAAGAUAAAUAAAUCUAUUUUUUUGACCCUUAUUAAAGAUCAUCAGAACAAGCUACCUUAGGGAUAACAGGCUAAUCCUACUAAAGAGUCCUUAUCAAUAGUAGGGGUUGGCACCUCGAUGUUGGCUUAGGGAAUCUAUGUGGCGCAAAAGUCACAUAAAGAUGGUUUGUUCAACCAAUAAUACCCUACAUGAGCUGAGUUCAGACCGGCGUAAGCCAGGUUAGCUUCUAUCCUCGAUAAUUUAAUCUAUUUAUAGUACGAAAGGACCUAAAUAAGAGUAAUAAUUACUUAAUAAUGAAAGUAUAUAAUAUAAAAUUAACCUUCUAACCACAAAAAUUAUG
rnacentral:rRNA from 1 species